rnacentral:lncRNA from 1 species
AGAUGACCACUUUAGCUUUCUGAGAGCAGGCAGUUACCAACUAGCCAGUAAAGACAGAAAAAGGAAGGGCUAUCAAAGUGCACUAACCAAUACUUCUUACUACACUGGGGUUUUUGAUGAACAGGAGCAAGAAUCAUUGUGCUAUGGAGUUACCAGAGCAGUCACAGGCUUGGCCUUGGAAAGAGGCAGAGGUGCUGGGGCAUGGAGAUGCACCCAAAUCCAGUUCUAAGAACAAACCUUUUUUCAUUUAGGAUAAAAGUAUGUAGUGGAUGUCAAAGUCCAACCCAUUCUCGGGUAGCUGCUGAACUAAGAACAAGCAAAACCCAAAGGAGGGGAAAUCAGGAACAGCAACUUCUGUAAAUCCUGG